GGCAGCACUAAUCAGUCUAAUGCCUAAUGCCCAGGCAGCUGACUUUAUUUUCGGAGAAACACUACUCAUUGUAGUAAAAAGUAACAAUGAAUAGCGAUAUCAUCUAGGAAGGAUCGCUACCCUAACGCGAAGGAAAGGCCUUGCGCGGCUGCUCUACGAAGUGUUGAAGAAAGACUCAUCAAAGUUUAAUAGUUGGUGGACGAACAACUCGCUGGCGCCGGAAAACUUGGCCCCCAACGAUGGUAUUUGGUGAAUCAUCAAGCAUAAUGUCUUGUAGCAGUGUUCACCGAGGAAGGAGAACGCUCUAGUCGCUGCUGUUGUCCGUUUCAUCCACGUUGGGCGUUAGCUGCACCGCGCCUAUUGUGUUUUAGUAUUCCAUGGACACACAUUAGCAUUCAGAGCGAUUGUGGAGCCACAAUUUACUUCACACAGCGUUGUAUUGUCCACGAGCGCAAACUUCAUUAUCAGCAGUAACUGUUACUCUUCAUCCUACAUGUAGACUUGGAGUAUACACGGCCUUGUCACGACAGCGACAGCUCUACAGAGUGUUCAAGUGAGAAACAUUAAUUUCUAUUGUUGGUGGACGAAUAAAUGGCUGGUUCCGAAAAAACGCGGCCUGCACCGACGGUGUUUGGUGGAUCAUCAAACAGGGUGACCAGCAGUGUUCACCGAGGAAGGAGAAUGCACUCGCCACCACUCCGAUUCAUCCAAGUGGGCGUUAGCUGCGCCGCGCCUAUUGUGUUUUAGUAUUCCAUGGACGCACACUAGCGUUCUCAGCGAUUGUGGAGCCACAACAUAUCUUCAUGCGGCGUUGCACUGUCCAAGAGCAGAAACGUCAGCAGUGACCCAUCAUCAUACAUGUAGAUUUGGAGUAUACACACCAUGCGCCAAUGGGCCUUGGCACAACAGCGGCAGCUCUAUGGAGUGUUCAAGUGAGAAACAUUUGUUUCGACUUUUGGUGGACGAACAAAUCGUCGGUGCCGAAAAACGUGGCCUGCGCCGAUGGUGCUUGAAACAUCAAGCAUGGUAUGUGGUGACUGUCAGUGUUGAUCGAGGAACUUGGAAGGAGAACACUUAGGCCGUCGACCGUUCAUCCAUUUCGUUAGCUGCACCAAGUCUAGUGUGUCCUUGUAUUCCAUGGGCACACAAUCAUGAAGCAUGGCGUCUGAGCUGUGUUCACAGAGCGGGGAGAUGCUCUUGCUGCUAUCUUAUCCGUCCUGUGUAUUCCCAAGUGCCGAAGGCUCACAACGAUGGUGUUGGACAAGUCAGAUAAAAUAGAGUCAACAUCGUCACACGGUGCUGUGACCAAGAUACAGAUCAUGCCGAACGCUGAUUCAACUGGACGAAUCGCGAGGCUUUUCAGAUGCAGGGACACAAUGGAAACUGAAUGACUUCAGAACAGCACUGAAGCGUUAUGUUAUCAUGCAAGACGCCUUUCUGCGCCGCACAAACACAGGCGGUACUACAGCAGAAGAUGUCACUCACUAUUCUGCAGGUGCACUGGUGACAGGCGCAUGCAAAAAGUUCACCAGAAGGAAGUGGUCUGAUGUUAACUGGAAUGCCAGCAGUAUGAGAGGGUGUGCAUUCUGCGGCGGAUCUCACCUGGACAAGAGCUGCGCGAAAUACACAACAGUAGCACAGCGGAAAGAAUAACUGAUUGAACAGAAGCGUUGCUUUGUGUGUUUGCGCACAGGGCACCGGUCAACUCAGUGCAAGGCCACCCGCAAGUGUAAUGUGUGUUCUCGCAUGGGUCACCAAUCAGAGUCACCAUCAUGUCACGAUCUGCCCUGAAUCUCAACAGAAAUCUGACAGCAGUACCAACAUAGUAGCUGACCAGCCUGUGGCUGACGAGGUACCAGCAUCUAGCGCAACAGCAGCUAGUGCAGCAUCAACCAGUAUCGCCAUUGACCGUAAGAUAGUCAGUCGUCUUGAUCGGUGCAGAUUUCCUCUGGGAGUCUCAGUUGACGUGGAGCACCAGAGGACUUCCGCCAGGACUACAGUUUCUGCCUACCACAGUCGGUUUUGUGGUGACUGGCCGAACACGUCACUCCAAGCACUCAGCUACGCCGAUGAGCAGCCAUGCCAGCUAUCGUUUCUCUAACUGAUGCAACUUCCGACUCCUGCACCAUCCCAGAUCUGUGGGACCUAGACUGUGUUGACAUCCAGGAUUCAGGCAAUCUUACUAACAACGACCUAGCCAUUAGGCAAUUCAUCAUUGUUCUACGAUUUUGCCUGCCACCAAUCGUCAUGACCUGCGAUACUGAGAAGGCCAUUUUACAAAUCAGUGCCAACCCAGCAUACCGAGUUGCGACACGAUUUCUGUGGUUCGCCAACUCCGACAGUCCAUCAGUCACCCCAUCCAGCCUGUUCACGCUCAUAAGCAGUCCAUUUCUGCUUGGCGCGUCUAUACAGCAUCAUUUGGCACAGCAAGAUGACAAAACAGCUAGCAGUGGAUGUUGGUGAGAACAUUUUCUGCUGUGCCAUUGGAGUGUGCACGAUACACGAACCCUGCUCUUUUGUUGGCACCGCCUAUGUAACUUACUGCAUAGGGUGCAAGGUGACCGUUGUCGGUUUACAUGUACUCCAGUUAUUACACCGUGCAUGCACUGAGUCUGUGCUGCACUGUGCAUCCAUAGGUGUUCGUUUGCGGUAGCGCAAGGUGACACGCAAGGUUGAUGGAUUGUUUUGUCCGCUGCUAUUCGAAGCUCUCGGAGUCGGAAGCGUUAGCUCUGUUUCCCCUGUUCCUCCCUGCGCGGAGUCUGUAGUUCUGGCUUGCAGUUGCUGUUACAUGCAUGUUGGCAGUUGCAUGUGUGUUUGGUUUUCAGUUGUCUUUAUUUGUUUUGUGUGGACGACAGUUCAAUAUUCUAGCAGUUGUUGCUCUUCCUACUUCUGAAGUACAUUCCUUAGUUAUCUGCGGUUGGUGUUUGAGAGAGCAAACUGUGUUCUUCUCCAGAGUGGAGUAAACCAUUCGCUUGUGUCUGAGGAAAACCCUGUGUGUUGACGAAGAGGUUGACUUGGCUGUAGAGUGAAAGUACCACAUGGUCACAUGGUCCACAAAAUCUUAGAACUACUUGUAACUUAGGGUCUUCUGGCGUAUGGUAUAAUUAUAUGAGCAGCAUGAGAGUGAAGUAAAAGACUAUUAGCUCAAACAUUCAGUCUUUCAGGAGUAGGUGUUUCAUCACGGAAUAGGUUCUGCAGUUCACUUACACACUGCAACAAUGGACCAGCAGUGUCCAGCAUACAAUAGUCAUGUGAAUAUGUACCGUAUGCAUACUCACAGCUGCAAGGCCAGCGCCCCGUGGCUGCUUGACUUCUCAAUCGAUAUAAAUAUUCACAACAGUAA